rnacentral:tRNA from 1 species
GAGGGGGGGAACCAACCAACAAGAGCUGCUAACUCCUGCAUCUGAGUAUGAACCCUCAGCCCCCUCA